rnacentral:rRNA from 1 species
GACGAACGCUGGCGGCGUGCUUAACACAUGCAAGUCGAACGGAAAGGCCCUGCUUUUGUGGGGUGCUCGAGUGGCGAACGGGUGAGUAACACGUGAGUAACCUGCCCUUGACUUUGGGAUAACUUCAGGAAACUGGGGCUAAUACCGGAUAGGAGCUCCUGCUGCAUGGUGGGGGUUGGAAAGUUUCGGCGGUUGGGGAUGGACUCGCGGCUUAUCAGCUUGUUGGUGGGGUAGUGGCUUACCAAGGCUUUGACGGGUAGCCGGCCUGAGAGGGUGACCGGCCACAUUGGGACUGAGAGACGGCCCAGACGCCUACGGGAGGCAGGAGGGGGGAAUAUUGCACAAAGGGCGGAAGCCGGAUGCAGCAACGCCGCGUGCGGGAUGACGGCCUUCGGGUGGGAAACCGCUUUCGCCUGUGACGAAGCGUGAGUGACGGAAAUGGGUAAAGAAGCACGGGCUAACUACGU